rnacentral:rRNA from 1 species
UACAGAGGUGGCAAGCGUUGUUCGGAAUUACUGGGCGUAAAGGGCGCGUAGGCGGUCUUGCAAGUCCUGUGUGAAAUCCCUCGGCUCAACUGAGGAACUGCACAGGAAACUGCUUGGCUUGAGUUCGGGAGAGGGAAGCGGAAUUCCGGGUGUAGCGGUGAAAUGCGUAGAUAUCCGGAGGAACACCGGUGGCGAAGGCGGCUUCCUGGACCGACACUGACGCUGAGGCGCGAAAGCGAGGGGAGCAAACGGG